AUUGAACGCUGGCGGCAGGCCUAACACAUGCAAGUCGAACGAGUGGCGGACGGGUGUGUAAUGUCUGGGAAACUGCCCGAUGGAGGGGGAUACCUACUGGAAACGGUAGCUAAUACCGCAUACCAUCGGAUGUGCCCAGAUGGGGUUAGCUUGUAGGUGGGGUAACGGCUCACCUAGGCGACGAUCCCUCGCUGGUCUGAGAGGAGGACCAGCCACACUGGAACGAGGACACGGUCCAGACUCGUACGGGAGGCAGCAGUGGGGAAUAUUGCACAAUGGGCGCAAGCCUGAUGCAGCAAUGCCGCGUGUAUGAAGAGGGCCUUCGGGUUGUAAAGUACUUUCAGCGAGGAGGCGUUACUCGCAGAAGAAGCACCGGCUAACUCCGUGCCAGCAGCCGCGGUAAUUC
rnacentral:rRNA from 1 species